rnacentral:lncRNA from 1 species
UUGGUGAAGUUCAGCCGUUGACGAAGUCCGGGGUAGUUCGGAUUGGAGUUGAACCUGGCAGGAAGAAGUUUGGAAGGGAUUCGGGGAACAGCUGGUAGUCGUAGAAGGUCGGCUGGCGGCGGAGCUCAGUGAGCACUUGGGGCGGCUUGAUAGAUGACUGGGGGAACUCAUGUUGAAGGAGCUCGGGUGGUGCAGUGGGAGUUCGUCCGUCGGAGGAAUUCAGUCAGUGCUGUGGAAAUCCGGCUGUUGGAGAAGUCCGGAGAGAUACCAUCUGUAGUCGAAAGUCGGAGGAGUCCUGGGAGGGUCAAUCCUGUUAAGAACUUCGGCUGAGGAUAUUUUAUACCCAACAAAAUUUAUUUCCAACCAAAUAUAGUAAUUUUUUUAGUGCCAAUUUUUGAAGUAAUUUUUCAACCAACGAAAUAUAG